rnacentral:rRNA from 1 species
AUUAAAAUAGUUGGUUCUGAUUACACGAAACAAGAUGAGCUAUUUUGCAAUCUAUUUUCGUAGAGGAAAAAUGUAGCAUAAUUUAUAACAAAGUGUGAAAUAGGGGUGAUAGGCCUAUCAAAUCUUGAUAUAUCUUGAUGUCUUUGAAAUACAAUAGUAUUUAAAAAUUUAAAGAGUGAUUAGACUGUUUAAUAGCACGAAUCUUAGUAUUAGUAUCUUCUCAGGAUUAACAUUUAAGAAGAACAAAUCAUAAUAUUAAUUUUUGUUCAUUGUGUAAACUAAAAGAUAGUUUUUAAACAAAGAAAGAAAAUUUAUAAUGUUAUUAUAAGUACCUAAUAGGUAUUAUAAAUGAACUCGGCAAUACUCCUUUCAACUGUUUAUCAAAAACAUAGCCCGUAGUAUUUUUUGUGGGUGUUUUCUGCCCAAUGACGUACGUUAAAAGGCCGCAGUACCUUGACUGUGCAAAGGUAGCGUAAUCAUUUGACUUAUAAUUGAAGUCCUGUAUGAACGAAAACAUGGGAGGGGACUUUAUUUGUAAUAUAAUUUGAAUUUACUGAGUAAGUGCAAAUGCUUAUAUUGAAAUAAUAGACGAGAAGACCCUAAAAAUUUUUACGGCAUGUUUUAUAAUGUUUUUGUUGGGGCAACAAUGUAGCAAUUAACCUACAUUUUUUUACAUGACAUGUAAUAUAGGUAGAUCAAAUUACUUUAGGGAUAACAGCGUAAUAUUUACUUGUUUGCGACCUCGAUGUUGGACUAGGGAGCGAUUGCUUAGAAGGCAUAACGCCUUGCUCUGUUCGAGCAAAACACCCUACAUG